rnacentral:rRNA from 1 species
CCCUGCCCUUUGUACACACCGCCCGUCGCUCCUACCGAUUUCGAGUGAUCCUGUGAACCUUUUGGACCGCGCGGUUCCCCCGUGGUUCCGUCGUGGAAAAUCAAGUAAACAGUAUCACUUAGAGGAAGGAGAAG